rnacentral:lncRNA from 10 species
AGGCAGGAAACAGGGAUUUAAAAAAAGUUUGGGGAUGGGUGUGGGGCACUGUAAGCCAGGUGGUAGGUGGGGAGGAGAAGAGGACUGAGGAGGCGGCCUAAGGAUUUUCUAAAUGGCCCAGGCUUCUGGGAGGGAAGCACCUUCUGCAUCUCUUUUCCUCCCUCCCUCACCUGCCUUUGCUGGUGUGGCCCAGUGGCCCCUCUCUGUGGGAAGAGACAGAAGAAAAUGAAAAAAACCACCAUUGUGUGUAUUCGCAUGCGUGUGGGCGUCCUCUCAGGGGGAAGUGGCCCUGUCUUUGCACUGCCCCCAUUCCAAGUAGAUCAGGAAAACAUGCGGCCUGAUUGUUGGCCCUACACUUAGGACUCCAGAUAAUUACAUUCACAGAGAGUGUGCACUAGCCCUGGAGGUGAGAAUGACUACUCCAGCCCUCUUCCCAAGCUCAUUCCCUGUGGCAGCUGAACACGUGAAGGAUGGAGUGGAAAAGCUCUGGAAGUGUGCAUGUGUGUAAAAAGGACUCAAGUCGCCAACAUUAGCUGAACCCACACACUGAGUGGGGUCCCUGCGUGUUUCUGUGCCUGCGUGUUAAGGAGUGGUGGUAUGGGUUGGGUCCUCUGUCCCUGGGAGAUUCUGUGCCUGCGUGUUAAGGAGUGGUGGUAUGGGUUGGGUCCUCUGUCCCUGGGAGAAAGUCCGCCACUCAGGAAAUAGGAGGCUGACUGGCAUACGGAAAGCAGAGAGCUGCUUCAACUUCUAGGGUCUAGGCUAGAAUCUAGGGUACGGAAUAAUACUCAGCUGCUGUUUAUUAUAUGUUUCAGAUUCCAAGGACCAGAAAACCCCACAAGCAGCAAGGCAGCAUGGUAUGCUGGACAAAGCAUGGAUCAGAGGGCCGGAAAGCCUGGGUUCAGAUGUCUGAUGGUGCCCCUUCACUGUGUGGUCUUGGGAAAUUUCCCUCCCCUUUCUGAGUAUCUUUUUCCUCAUCUGUGAAAGGAACUGUCCCGGUCUUCACAGAGCCGCUGAUAGCUUAAGCGAGUCCUGUGUGUAACGUGCAGGCUUGAGUGAGCUAUCCCUCCUUCUUGUGCCUCAGUCUUCUCUAUUGCACAAAGAGGGAGCUGGAGGAGAUGGUUCUGGACGGCCAAUUCCUUCCAGAUCUUUUUUUUUUUUUUUUGAGAUGCAGUCUCGCUCUGUCGCCCAGGCUGGAGUGCAGUGGUGCGAUCUCGG